GGAUUAGUUGAGGGCACGGGCAGAAAAUGGAAGCAAAGAUUUUUUGAAAUUCAAAUUUUAUUUUCAGAAUGUGAGAAUUAAACCCUAGUGAGAGAAAGUCUCCCUUCCAAUGUCAGUCGUCCCCCUUGCCACCGUCGUUCGGCGUUCAACGGCCACCGGCGUCGAUCAUCUUCGCGGCUCUUCCCACCGACCAUCUUCGCGGCUCUUCCCACCGAUCAUCUUUGCGUCUUGUCCCCCGUCCCGUUUGCACCGUCGACGACCCAGAGGCUCUGCCAGCGCCGGUCUCGGGUCCCCCCUCCGUGCUGUCUCCUUCCGCCGGCUUGGCUUGCUUUCUCAUUCCGCCGUCUUACCGUUGCUUUCUCAAAGGUGUCAUUCAGGUGCAGGGAGAUAUAACUAAUGCUCGAACAACUGAAGUGGUACAUAUAGCAGUAUUACCAUAAUUUUUUUGAUGGAUAAUUUUAUAAUAUUUUGGAUACAUGUUGAGUAAGCUACAUAUCUUGUCAGAGAUAGAAAAUAUACCCGUCUCUUUCAGUUUGUUGCCUCCUCAAAUUUCAUUGAGAAAUUUCAUUGUUUCCUUUUAAAUAUUUUACGUAAGUGAAACAUGUGUAUGUAUUACGAGUUUCAUUUAUUAUAUUUGUUUCUCUAUCAUUUGAA